rnacentral:lncRNA from 1 species
CAAAAUUGUCGUCGCGCGAUCUGCGACCUGGUCACUGACAAAAGUUAUUUUGUAGUACAGAAUUAUAUAUUAGUCCAACAAUUCUUGGACUGACAUAUACUAAUCCUUCUCAUUCCAUGUGAUAUGCAGGCCACAAAUUUAAAAAAGAACUUUAAUUUAGACAUAAUGAAAAACAGGUUAAGGAAAUCAAGUUGUGUUGCCGGAUGGGGCAGGUAACACCAUUUUCAUAAUUCAUUUUCGUUCAUUCAUCAUACCAUACGUUUAUAUAUAUAUAUAUAAAGUAGCACUCAAUACAUUUCCUAAGAGUUACUAUAUAUAUAUAUAUAUAUAUAUAUAUAUAUAUAUAUAUAUAUAUAUAUAUAUAUAUAUAUGUGUAUAUGUAACUCUUAUGAAAUGUAUUGAGUGCUACUUUCUUUCGUUUGUUCACUUAUAUGUGCGCGCGCUGUGUGUGCGUGCGUGUAAUAAGAAGGCGGGUUUGAUUAUUCCUAGUGUUUACAUUUAUACACUCACAGCAAUUAUUUAAAGGCGUUGGACAUCACUUGCCUUUCUAUGGUGAUCCAUUAUCAAUUUGGAUCUUUCAUUGCUCCUGUGAGAUUUUCGGGCAAAAUUCUGAAAUGCUACACAUAAAUAGUAUUAUGAAACAGAAUUCCAAACACGGAAUAAACGGCAGGAAUGCAAUCCACUUCAAUACCCUGCACUAGCGAGAAAAAAGAAAGAAAAAACAAAAAAAACUAUCGGUAAUUUACUAAUAAUAUUUUCAUUUUCCCCCCGUAAAACAUGCGAGAUAAUUCUGUACAUGUUUCUAUUAUUCUGACCUCGUCAGUGGAUUCGAGCGUUUGCUGUUGCUACAGAAAACACGCCCACUGUUGUCUCCUGUAGUUGACAGGAAAAUGGAAAUUAUAUUAAUUAUUGAUAAAUAUCGUUUUCCUUCACAUAUUCUCUUUCUAAUUUUGCUUUUUAACACUACCUUACAAAUGAAUGUAUAUACGUGUCUACGAUAACAGAAAUUUGAUAGAUAACCUCCGCACCCCAUCGAUGACACAAACACUUCAAUUGGAGAUUAUUUUUGACUAAACUAACAGAGACGCAACGAAAAUUUUAAGAAAAAACUGGAAAUUUUACCGGUGAGUGUGUUACAUUAUAAGGCCCAAAAAAGAAAAUGACUCUCCCCAGACACAACAGAAUAAAGAAAAGUAAAACGGAGUAGGUAUAUUUUCUCCUUUACUAUUCGAAUUUUUUAAUUCGUUGUUUCAAAUUUCUUUCUUUCUUUAUUCAUUUCUUAUUUGUUCAUUUUCCUUCAUUCUUUUUACUUUAUGUUUCUUUGUUCUUUUAUUUAUUUAUUUAUUUAUUACGGAGAUGUACUUGCAUAGCAAGUGACCUGAUCUGAGAUCGUGUGCUGGAACGAAAACAAUUGCAGCGUGGAAGGUGUUUAUAAACCAUUUAAGAAACACACGAAAACCGUUCGAUUCACUUCAACAUUUAAAUUUAGUUUCUCAAAAUAUUUUCGUCGCUUUGAGACCGCGACCUGUUCACUGUUGUCCAUUUAUUGGAUCUUUUCUCUUGAACGCCAAGAGAAAAAGAUGUUUUAUAAAUACAGUCUACCAGUAUACGAAGUUUAAAAGUGUUUAGUUAUAAAGAAAUUAUUUUAAAAAUCUGCCGGUCAAACGGAAAAGAUCCUAUUUAGUUAUUUAUUUAUUCUCUGUUGAAUUGUUUGUCGAUUGAGUUUUUUUUCUUUUUUUUUCUAUUCAGGUCUUCCAUACUUUGGCAAACCUAUCACUUUCCAAACUUGUAAAAGUGCUGCAAUUUCAUACGAAACGGCGGCGUGAAACCGAUCUCUGUGAGUCUAUAUAUUUCGCCAAAGCUCGAUUUCUCCGUUUUCGAUGUGGAACUGCGUAACAGAUUUGCAGGAAGACUCGCAGAAGUAGCAGAACCGCCGAGGUGGUCGAUAGAUCUUGCUUGACGGAUACAAACCACGGAUAUUGAUCGAUCGAUCGGAAGAAAAAGAACAACUGAGCGGAAGAAAACAAAUUCGGAUUUUUUUUUAUAUAAAAAAGGGAAUAUCACAGACAAAAUCUCUUCAAUUAACAACGAAAUUAAUUAAACCAAACGGACAAGGUGUGCGGAAGGAACGACCAAGUACUUGUGAACCACCUCAAUCAGGACUGUUGACUGGUGUGGGAGUGUUUGCCAUAUACACCUAUACAUUUCACAUAUAUAUAUAUAUAUACAUUUAUACACAUAUAAACUAUAUACUAUACUAUAUAUAUAUAUAUAUAUAUAUAUAUAUAAGCAACAAGGAUAUCCAAGGUAGAUUUAUAUGGAUAACACCAUACCAAAUUCUGGUGCCUUUGACUUAAGUACCAUAUUCAUCUGAAUCUAAAUUUUGCUGAACUCGUAUAUAUACAUACAUAUAUAUAUAUACGUAGGUUCUCUGUUUCUUUGAUCUCUGAACUGAAGAGGUUUCAAAAGCUAAAAAACCAAGAACACAUCGAUAGGAAUCUGGCAGCUUGGGGAUUAAAAGACAGAGGCAUCCUCGAUGCGAAUGGAAUUGUUGUAACUGAAAUAUCUCCCCGCAAAAAACCUAACAACGACGAUGUAUUGCUUACAGUGGCUCAUACCUGUGUUGCUUAUACCGAAACCAUUGAACCCAGCUUUCAUCUAUAACCAUGCCAUGUUCAUGGUGCUCUACCUCACCAGUUUCUUCUUAGAAAGGAAACCCUGCACGAUAUGCAGUGUGGUCUUUCUAGCUGCUGUCUUUCUCAUAUGCUACAGUUGUGUGGGGAACUGCAUGUUUUGGCACUGUCCCACAGAUGACUGCCAAGGGGUAGGAUGUACCGAACGUUGACAACCCCCAGGAGUCGUCGUCUUUACUCCUCAUAAAGAAUUAUAUAUAUAUAUAUACAUAUAAACAAAAAGGAAAAAAAAAAAAACCCAUUUAAACCAUUUGUAAAAAGAAAAAAAAACAACAACACAAAAAGAGGAAUAUACACAUAUAUAGACAUGACUGUGGAUUGGUUGAAUCGGUAGAGCAUCGGACGAAAUACCUUGCGGUAUUUAGUUACGGUUCUUUACUUACUGUUUUCAAAUCCCACCGAGGUUAACUUUGCCUUUCAUCCUUCGAGGGUGGAUAAAAUAAAGUACCAGUAAAAUACUAGGAUCGCAUAUAUAUAUAUAUAUAUAUAUAUAUAUAUAUAUAAAUAUAUAAUAUAUAUCGUGUGAAUGGAAUUAUUGUUAAAAACUAAGACUAACAACUUCAUUUAAUUCAUCCAUCUCUCAUUACAGAAAAGAAACAAAAAGACCAUAUAUAUGUAUGUAUGUAUAUAUAUAUACACAAAAAGAAAAAAUGAACAUCUUUCCUUCUUCGUCAAUAUUAACAACACAUUACACCACUGAAGGUAACUCUACGUGGUCGAUCGACCCUGCAAGAAAUAGCAGGCAACACUCUUCUCAGAUCACACCCUACCGUCUUACGGGGAAGGACACGUUGGAUAAUGCAGUCCUUCAUACCCCUACAAAAAGACGGGAUGGUCACAGUUGGAGUGCUCGAUACGGGUUGACCUGUGGCUAAACAACAUCAAGAAACUAAUCUUAUUUUUAUUAAAACUAUGAGGUUUCACAACCAUGUGAGAAAUUACUAUUAUUGUUGUUAUUACUAAUUUUUUAUUUUUGUUGUCGUUACUUUUCCUGUUAUUAAUUUAAAGAAUUGAUUUAGUGAUUAACUAAAUGUCUUGCAGUAUUUUAGUUUUACCAGUUAUUCUACGUUCUGUGCGAUUUCUACCCUUCGCCCUUCCGUUGGGGGGUGUUUCACUUAAAUAAUCAUCCUUCAUAUGACAACCCUCAAAAGGAAACACGCACCACAAUGACAAAUGCGAUUUCCAUUUAAUUUUCUAAAAUAAAAAUGAAACCCCAAUACUUCAAAUACAUAUGAUAGCAUUUUUUUUAAAAUAUAAAAUUUGUAAUUGCAUAAGCUAUUUAACAACAAAAAUGGUUUAAUCUAACUGUGACUCAGCCAGAUCUUUAUCGGAGAGGUGACGAUAAAGAAAAUUUUGCUUUUUAAUUCCCCAAAAGUGCACUUGAGUUGCCAAGCACAACUCCAAUAUUUGGCUCUUCCAAUUUUCCAG